ensembl:lncRNA
UGAUCUAAGAUUCCAAAGUAUGGGGGACAGAAUAAUGGUCCUCCAAAGAUGUCUAUAUCCUAAUCCCCAGAGCCUGUGAAUAUGUCAUCUUAAAUGGCAAAAAGGGGCUUUGCAAAUGUGAUUAACUUAAGCAUCUUGAGUUGGGAAGAUUAUCCUCGAUUAUCCAGAUGGGCCCAAUGUAAUCACAAGGGUCCUUAUAAAAGGGAAUAGGGAGGCAGGAGGGUCAAAGAAACAGAUGUUUUGAUAGAAGCAGAAGUCAGAGAGAGAGAGGAAUUUGAAGGUGCUUGUUUUUGGUCUUGAAGAUGGAAGACGGGGCCAUGAGUCAAGAAAUGAAGGUGGUCUCUAGAAGCCAGAAAAGGCAAAGAAACAGAUUCUCCCCGAUAGCCUCCAGAAAGAACACAGCUCUGCCAACAGCUUGAUUUUAGGACUUUCAACCUCCAGAACUAUGCUGCCACCAUGUGGACAAGUCUGAGCUGGAUUGGUGGAGAGUCCUCAGCCAACCCCAACUGCCAGACCAUCCAGCCAAGUUGAGUGAGAGGCCAUAUAACAGAGUUGAGUUGCCAGAUGACAGCAGCCAUACAAAGCCAGGAGAAGAAACAAGUCAACAACCCCUCGAGAACUGUGAGCAAAUAAAAUGAUUAUUUUAAGUCAGUAAGUUUUAGGGUGCUGCAAUAGAGAAAUGGUAUGAGUACUUUUGAAAAAUAUCACUUCCUGCCUACCCUCCAUCCCAUCAGAUCUAAUGAUUAAGAAUUUCUUGGCAAGGAGCUCCACUGAUCUUUGUGUGGUGACUGUUGUUCAUCAACGAGGUUUGGAACUCACUAGCACAGACCUUGGAGACUGAGUCCUACUGGGUCCCCUGGAUCUUGGGAGCCCACCAGGCCUACUCCAUUCGUGGUACCUGGGCCAAGGACACCGUUCCUCCCUCUCUCUCCUAGGGUACAGGUCAGGACUUUUUCCAUUGCAAGUACCAAAAAACCCAACUGAAACUGCUUAAAGAAAAUGUGCAAUAAAAUUUUUUUGCAAUUGUUUAAGCAGUAGGGCUAAAUUCAGGUGUGGUGUGUGUCUGUUGUCUGUCCAUUUCUUGGCUCUCUAGUCCUCGCCGCUGGCUUCAUUCUCAGCCUUCUUCUGUGCAAACAAGAUGGCUACUAGCAGUUCCAGGAUCAGUUCAGUGGAAAAGCUCUUCAGCUGUCCCCACAAAUUCUCACUGUAUUUCAUUGGCUUUGAAUGGGUCCAUCCUUGAACCAAAUCUGGGGCCAGGAAAAUCCAGUGCUCUGAUUGGUCAGCCCUGGCCACCUGGAGCCAGCAGCAGUGUCAUCUGAAGUGCAUUGGAUAGAGAGUUAGGGAGAUGGUGAUUCUCCAGAGGAAAAUUGCUACAGUGGGUUCCAGAAAAGGGAUAAAUGGAUGUUGGGCAGCAAAAACAACAUAGACCUGCUAUAGCUGGACAUUGGAAAUCAGCUCACUUAUGUCGCUUCAAUCCUGAAAAUCCACAUCAGGGUCAUCUGGCUACUGGAAGUCUUUGACCUUUCUAAAUCUCAAAUGCCUAGCUAGACACCAGGCUUUGAAAUGCAUCUCACCAUGUCGCCUGAAUCAUGGAAGGCAAGUUGCCCUCUCCCUCAAAAAUGCCCCUUAUGCUCUAUAAAACAAGUCAUGAAGCACUUCCCAUGGG